rnacentral:rRNA from 1 species
AGGACGAACGCUGGCGGCGUGCUUAACACAUGCAAGUCGAGCGAGGCCCUUCCUUCGGGAAGGUGCCCUAGCGGCGAACGGGUGAGUAACACGUGGGCAACCUGCCCCUAGCACUGGGAUAACUCCGGGAAACCGGGGCUAAUACCGGAUAUGACCUUCUUGGGCAUCCUCGAAGGUGUAAAGGAUUCUGGCUAGGGAUGGGCCCGCGGCCUAUCAGCUUGUUGGUGGGGUAAUAGCCUACCAAGGCGACGACGGGUAGCCGGCCUGAGAGGGUGACCGGCCACACUGGGACUGAGACACGGCCCAGACUCCUACGGGAGGCAGCAGUGGGGAAUCUUGCACAAUGGGCGAAAGCCUGAUGCGGCGACGCCGCGUGAGGGAUGACUGCCGUUCGGUUGUAAACCUCUUUCAGCAGGGACGAAGCGAAAGUGACGGUACCGCAGAAGAAGCACCGGCCAACUACGCGCCAGCAGCCGC